UCCAAGACUGAACGUGGAAAGAGGAUCACGAUUGGGCGAGGCGAUACUUCCGGUUUGCAGAUGCCGGAAGUAGGCUCUCCCGGAGGAAGAGCGGACUGCAAUCUGUGAAUUAUAGUGGGAGAGGAGGAUAACCAACGUGGUGCACUGUGAAAACGUUCUGCAAAAAAACGAUAUCAAGCAAACUCGACUGAAUUCACACCUAUUGAACACAGAGAGCCUCAGACCUGAUCACCUUCUGCAGCACUAUGUUGCCUGAACGUCAUUUGCAUCUCUUGUAGUUCCCCUUUCUUUCAAUAAAUACUUGUUUUCCUUGGUUUUCUGAUCUUCUGUAA